AUACAGAGGGUGCGAGCGUUAAUCGGAAUUACUGGGCGUAAAGCGCGCGUAGGCGGCUUAUUACGUCAGAUGUGAAAUCCCCGGGCUCAACCUGGGAACUGCAUCUGAUACUGGUAAGCUAGAGUUUUGGAGAGGGAAGUAGAAUUUCAGGUGUAGCGGUGAAAUGCAUAGAGAUCUGAAGGAAUACCAGUGGCGAAGGCGACUUCCUGGACAAAAACUGACGCUGAGGUGCGAAAGCGUGGGUAGCAAACGGGAUUAGAUACCCCAGUAGUCC
rnacentral:rRNA from 1 species